AGAGUUGAAUCACCCUCCCCGCUGACCAAUUGGUGGGGGGCUUGGAACCUUACGUGAUGGGAUUCUGCGAAAUUGUUACUGAGCAAGAGCAUGCCGGAACAGUGAGGAGCGGCAGGCGAGGGGGGAGUGAAUCAGGCAGUGGGCAGAGGGGGGGCAAGAGUCUUGUAGACCUGGAGCUUUGUCUGCUAUUUCAACAGAGCGUCUUGAUGAGUGGGUGAAUGUGCAGGGAAUUCUAACGAAGGCAAAGCGGCUGGGUGCAUCUCCUGAGCUCCUCCUGCGAUUUUUUUUUUUUGGGGGGGACACACCUUGGGUCCUUUUAAAACGCUGGAUUACUUGAAAUCACCACUAGUGACAGUAUUUCCAAGAGAGCCUUAUUAUAGCCUGUCAAUGUGCUUGUCAUUGGGAGUGAAUUGAAAUCUGGAGUUUCUGGUGAUCACGGGUAAGGGGUCUAGGAGUGCAAGAAGUCCCAGUGUAGCACCAGAUUGUGGAUGCUGCCUUUGGAGUCAUGGAUUGUUAUAUAAAGAUCAGUGGCUGAAUUCGACUCCUUGCUUGGAUACUAACGCACACCGCCCCACCCCCUCGCUACUGAUCUUGGAGGCUGAAGGCACCAGUGUGCUGAUUAAAAACCCCGGGGGGUACGACAGAGAAGUUUCGGUGCCUGAAUUUUGGUUCUCUUUCUUGGUGGUUACUCGUCUGCAAAAUGUCAGCAGUUGCCUACAUGGAUUUUGUUGCUGCUCAGUGUCUGGUUUCCAUUUCCAAUCGCUCUGUGGUACAGGAACAGGGGGCUCAGGAUGCAGAGCUACUGAAAAUGCCUGAUGAAGAAGUGACCAAGGACCUGAAUGACCCCAGGGAUGCCUGGAAGGAUUAUUGCACAUUGGUCACAAUUGCUAAAAGCUUGUUGGACCUGAACAAGUACAGACCCCUCCCAACCCCUUCCAUCUGCAGUGACAGUGUAGAAAGUCCAGAUGAGGAUGUAGGAUCAGACAGCGACGUGACCACUGAAUCUGGGUCGAGUCCUUCCCACAGCCCAGUGGAAAGACAGGAUUCUGGCAGUGUGCCCAGCUCUCUCUCUCUCCUCCACAGUGGAGUGCCUGCAAAGGGGAAACUAGCCACUGAAAAGAGACACAAGUGUCCAUACAGUGGAUGUGGCAAAGUCUAUGGAAAAUCCUCCCAUCUUAAAGCCCAUUACAGAGUGCAUACAGGUUAGCUGUGGUCUCUCAAUUGCAGAGGGGGCUGUGGGGGUUACCUCAGUGUUACAGAGCAGCAUUGGCUAUGCAACACUGAUUUUAAGUCAUGAACAUUAUCCUUGUUCUUAAAUGCUGCAAAUACAGACAAAUAUUAACGUUAAGGAAGUUGGUUGUCCUGGUUUGAACUCCUUAGAGAUUAUUUUACUAUUUAACCUGUUUUCCUCCCAUCCUCCAUUUUUGUCUCUCAUCCUUGUUGUUAUUAGCUAUGAAUGCAAUGGCUUUCUGGCUACAUUCAGUCUAUGAAAGCAUGGUAUGUUACUGAAAUUAUAUGGAAUGUUUAGGGUAGAGAGCAAAGGGUGUUCUAUGGGUUUGUCAUGUUGUUGAGAUUUUUUUUCUCUUCUCUGCAUCUGUAACACUGAGGUUUACAUGGAGAAGAUCAGGCCAGUAGAGGAGCUGUUCAGUCUAAAAAUGGUAUAGUCUGCUUCUAUGAGAGUAGCAAGAAUUAACCAAAAAUUGCAUGGAAGCUGCACGCCCUGUAUGCAGUAGGGCCUUUUAGGGACUGCUCAGUAUUCUUUUAGGCUUAUGCUUGUUGUUUUUUGUGCUUGCCAAGCUGGCUUUACAUUUGACCAGGAGUCUUCAGAGAGUUUUAAAAUAACACUGAAUAGUACAGCAUAGAAUUUUGACAAGAUAGUUAGUCGGAAGCUAACUCAUCAUCCCCUACUUACAAAGUCAGAUUUCAGAGACUCAUUUUAUUCAUCCUGUGUGUUAGGACUCGUCCCCAUGAGCUCUGCUGUAAGAUUAAGGGCGUGGUCAGUUUCUGAGGUCGUGGAUUGAUGACGAAUUUUACGAAUUCUCAUAAGGAAACCUGUAAAGUUUAACUCCUACAUAAAUCAGAAUAUGAAAGGUCUAGUAAUUAAUGAACUAAGAUCUGAAAAAUAGAGGAGGAGAAAGGCAGUGUAAACUCCACCUUUAGAAAUGUAACCAUCCUUGACAAGGCAAAUAUAUUUUGAUUAAUCAGCACACUGAAGGAAAGUUGUGAGGUGGUUAAUAUUUUAAUUUACAAAGAUUAUGAACUGGUAUACCUCUUAAUUCAGACUUGCUGGUAUAAGGCUACAGCACACUGGGUCCUAAAUUAUAUGACAGCCACCUUCAUUAUAACCAUUUAUAUUAUAACACUGCUUUUAGCAGACUCUUUUUGUGAAGGUAUUGAGCAAAUUUUUAAUGAGCAAAUGUUUUUAAGGAAAUGCUUGCCCCCCCCCCCCCCCACAUAAGCAUAGCAAGAAUAGAGGGGCAAAUUCUCUGCUGAUGUAAAUGGGCACACUUCCAUUGACUUCAAUGGAAUGUGGCCCAUAUUUUUAAAAUACAAGCACAUGAGUAUGAUACACACAAACUAGAAGGGCAGCUGCUUUUAAAGAUCAGAUGUUGGGUAAUUCUCAACCACUGUUCUUAACUUUCAAAGCUAAGUGCAUUCCAAAGCUUUACAAUUUUGUGUUUUGAUAGCACCUGUUCACCAUCAUUUUAAUCUGCUCCCAUGAGGGGACUGGAUGGCUCAAAAUACUAGUAAUAGGGGGUCACAGAGCUAUUCGUUUUUACAUCAUGAAUGCAAUAUAGGUCAGUAAUGGCCAAAGGUAAAUUACCAUUAUAUUAUGGCUGUUUGGUGGCCUAUGUGAAAUGAACUGGUAGUCUGAGUCUAGUUUCUGAUGACAUCACUCUCCCUUUCUAUCUCUUUCACACACAACAUAAACUCCAUCAUGACAAACUUGCAACGUUGUUGGCAAAAUCAGCAAAGAGACCAAGAACUGAAUGGACCUUGGGGGAAAUUUUCAAAAGCAUGUAAAUGAUGUAGGGCCCAAAUCCUUAAAGGUACCUAGGUGCCUAAGUCCACCAUUUAGGCACCACUGACACUUUCAAAGUUGCCAGUGAGCUGCCACCUAACCCCAUAGGUGCCUAAGUAUCCUAGCUGCCUUAGUUUCCGCUAGUCAGCAUUUGCAAAGCUACCCCACAGUUAAUGAGCUGCUCCAGCUCAAGCCAAAGCCCCAAAGUGAGAUUACAUGGGGGGUGCCUAUCUCAUCAGUGGGGCCUGAUCUGGUAGGCAUGCUCUGAACAUGUCUUAAGACCUGAUACUUGUCGGACCCCACAGCUGAAGGCAGGUCACCAACAGGUGGAAGGACAAAAGAGUGCCCAUACCAAAGAGACAUGGGGGCAUAGGGAAAUGUAUAAUGAGUGUGAGAAAGAUAUCAAGCGAGAACAGGGGAAAGAGACUGUUUUGGUUGAUAAGACCUGGUCUACCUAAGUGGCUGGUCUGGCUUAGGUGCCUAACUCCAGGAGAGGGCUCGUGGCUGAGGAGCCUGAGUGGUGGGAGGCACCUAUCUCUAGGCCACAUGCACCAGUUCAGCUACUUAGAUGCUUAAGCCCCAUCCCUCUCCUUAGCAUUUCACUCCUGGCUAGCCUAGACAACUCCCUGGUCAGCUGACUGGCUUCUGAAAAUCUCUUCCUUAAGUGCUUAACUCUCUCUAUGCAUUGUACAGGGAGCCUGAGUGGCUGGCUGCUUAGGGUUUCGGUGUUCAGAUGCUGAGUAGAGCAAUACCUAAAUACCUUCAAGGAUCUGGGCCUAAGUCCCAUGACUUCUAAUGGGACAUAUGCUCCUAAGUCAUUUGGGCACUUUUGAAAAUGUUACCCUUAACCUAACUUUUGACCCCCUCCAGGUAGCCUAUUUAGCCUGGGGGGAUGGGUCACAUUGACAGGGCAACAAAGACUAUUUCAUUGUCCAUGCUCUUCCUGUUCCAUAGAGGACAUCAGUCUCCAGUAGUGUCACAAUGGGGUUUUUCCACCAGGACUAAAUUCAUAAGACUGGAUUUGCUAAUAUGCACAAGCGGUUUAGCAGGUGAGGUAGUAUGGUAAAAUGUUAACCUAGCAGUAAAAAAAACAACCCCCAAAACUGCUAUAGUAAUUGAGAUGUCCACAGGCUCUCCUCAAAAACUGUAAACAUGGUAAUUGUAGGCCUUAUUUUUAUUUAAAUUGUCAUACAAGUCCUUUUAAUUCAAGUGUCUGAAUAAAACCAUUACCAUACAUGUAAAUUGCAAUAGGAGACACAAUACUGGUGCAUGGGGCUGUUUAAAAGUUGCUAUAAAUAAGAGUUGUGCAUAAGUGUAAAAGUAGAGAGUCAGAGGAAAUCAACAGCACCAGAAGUUGGAAGUUUACCUUCCAGUCAUAGCAUCUCUGUUGUAGGUUACUUUGUUCUUUUCUGAACUUUCUCUAACAGUGGUGGUGGAAAAAGAGGAGAUUUUUAUCACAGGAAGAUAUACCACAGGGCACUGCUGCAAUAGUUAUGCACUAAGAGCAGAUUUAUGAAAGAAAAUGGCUAAAUCUGAGUUACAGUUAAACUCCCAUUGAACAGGCUCUCCUUUUGGCCUAGCAAUACUGUACUACUUUGCAUUGCAAUGAGGAAGACCUGGUUUUGAUUACCUGUCUUGUGUUCUCCAUGCUGAAGGGCUAAUAAAGCAGCAUGCUUAGCUCAGGGAGAGCAGGUGAACAAGAAGAAUGGUUGUGUGUUAUUCAACAGCAAUCCCUAUGGUUAAUUAAGGAACCUCUCUGAUUGCCUGUGGGAGCAAGGAAAGGAAUGCAGUCGUGCUCAUCUUGUUGGGUUGGUAGUCAUUCCAUAGAACCUUAUGGAGAAGGGAAAGUCCACCUGAACUUCCAUUUAUAUCUUCCUAGUAAAGAACUUUGGGGAUAGAAUGUAGUCCUGAUUUUUAAGCCUCAACAAGUGAAGUUUGUGGGAGAAAAAUCAUUCCAUUUGCCCACUUCCAGCCCAUAGCUACAGACAGAAACUAGAGAAGAAGGGAAAGACAUUUGUCACAAAAGUAGGUUUUUUAUUUAAACUCUGUCUUUUAACCUACCCUAGGGCCUGUGUGGUAUCUGCCCAACCAUUUCCGGUCCAAUACUUACUCAGAACUAUGGUAACUAAAUGUAGGUGAAGAUUUGCAAAUUUCUGGCUUUCAAAAGACAGAGGAAAUCAUAGUAUCAUUUCCAGUUUGUUCCCAGAGCUCAGGUAUUCAUCCUAUUCUGAAGUAGACAUCAACUGGAAUAGCAUUUUGCAUGUUGACAUGCAAAUUAACAUACAACACUUUAGAACCUAACCCCCGCAUAAGAUGCGACUCCACUGUACUAGGUUUCCACUGGUAUCCACUUCAUAUGUGGCCUAGGUAAACCCGAUUCCACUUUGCUUCCAAUUUCCUAUCACCAGUAUUGUUAUAUCAAGUAGGUUUUAAAGUCCACGCAUGAGGCAAAAAUCGCGUAUAGUCAAAAUGAGAGAGAUGGAAGAAAGACAGAAUAAAAAAAGGGAGAAAGAAGACUUCAGCGUCGUUAUGCGCAAACCGGUGUGCCUCAGGAUGGCCAGGAGCAUUGUCUAUGAUCAGCAAUACUUUAAAGUCAAGUCCUUUCUCUUCGAAGUACCGCUUGACCUCCGGAAUGAAACACUUGUGGAACCAAUCCAGAAAUAAUGCUGCCGUCACCCAAGCCUUUUUAUUUGAUUGCCAGAACGCAGGCAGGAGAUUUUUGUUCUUGCCUUUUAGGGCACGGGGAUUUGCAGCCCUGUAGAGCAAGCCCGGCUUUAUUAAAUGCCCAGCUGCAUUGCCACAAAACAACACAGUCAUACGGUCUUUAGCUGCUUUGAAGCCAGCGGCUUGUCUUUCUGAUUUUGAAGUGUAAGUGCAGUUGGGCAUUUUUUUCCAGGAGAGCCCAGUCUCGUCAGCAUUAAAAACUUGUUUCAGAAGAUAGCCCUUUUCUUCUAUAAUUUUCUUUAAUUGUUCAGGGCAGGCUUUUGCUGCCUCUUCAUUGGCAGAUGCAGCUUCACCAGUAGUCUGCACGUUUUUGAGGCUGAAUCGGUUUUUAAAACUGUUAAGCCAGCCUUGGCUGGCUUUGAAUUCCUUCUCAUCAGAAGGCUGUCCCUCUUCGGCGGGAGAUUUGAACAGUGCGUAGAGGCUAAGAGUUUACGGUUCAUGUCUUCCAGCCAUAAGUUUAAUGCCUUUUCAGUUUUCACUAAAGUCUUAUCACGCACCUGGCUCAUCACCUUAGCAGUUAUUGGUGCACUUGAUGCCACGGCUUGACGAAUUUCUCUCUCGAAUCUUGAUGACACGCAUGCUAGAUUCGUUGCGGCCGUAUUUACGCGCCACGUUGGAGACCGACAUAGCGUCUCUCAAUAAGUCCAACACAGCCAGUUUUUCCUCCAGCAUUGGAACAGAUCGCUGUUUCUUCGGUUGAGCAUCAGAUGAAGUAGUUGGCUUGCAUUUAGGGGCCACGUUGUACGAAAAAUACAUAUCUUUAAACACUAGAAUCACAGCGCGGCGAGAUGCUCACCGGACCAGCAGGCAGCAAUCGAUCCAGUGGGGGUCAAUUUAUCACGUCUAGUCUAGAUGCGAUAAAUCGACCCCCCCGAGCGCUCUCCCGUCGACUCCUGUACAGUACUCCACCGCCGCGAGGAGUUGUUGUUUUUUGCCGAGUGCGUAUAGUUGAAUUCGCAUAAGUUAAAUGUGCGUAUGAUGCGACUCCACUGUAAAGGUUAAUGUUAAUAACAGUGUACCGCAGUUUUCAGUGAUUAAAUAACACCACAAAUAUUCAGCUAUAUUCUUGAGUAAUAAACUUUCAGCACUUUCCAGUGUGAACAGAGUUAACUUUAGCUGAUGGAAUAGUAAAUGAUACUCCUCAUCAAGAGGAUUACUUCAUGAAUGGGAGAACAGAAAAAGCUGGGUGUAGCCUCCACAGUUCACCCAAAAUCUGUACCUAUAAAUCACAGAUUACUCCAGUGCCAUCUUUGGAAGGGGAACAAAACAAGUAAGUCACUAAGGGAGAUCAAGACAGUACCCUGGGCACAUAGGAUUCUUGAACUCGGCACAUGAAUGUAAAAUACACAUGCCGGAUUUAAAGUCAUUCCAAGAGUGAUACAUUUCAUAGCCACAGUGAGGUAUUUCUUGAUUGGAUUGGCCAGGGACAUAUAUGACUACACGUUGUAGCGUUAACUAUCUUAAGUGACUGCUUCCUUCAUUCAUUUAAAAAAAUAAAACAAAACCCAUUCAUCUCCAUGAUUUCAUGAACCCUUAAGAUCAACCUGGCAUUUCUUAAUGUGAACUUGCUUUCCAGGGCAGAGAUUUGAUUUCUCACUACCUUUGCAGCCUUUAGCACUCUUAGUUAAAGUAGAUGCUCAUCAAUAGUUACUGCCAUCUUAAAUUUUUAAUAUUUAUCUUAUUCUCUAUCUUGAAAAAUGGUUUCAUAAUGUCUACUCAUUGUACCUAUGGUCUGUCUUUUAUUAAUACCCCGUUUCACCCAUGCAUAGCAACUAAACAAGUUCAAAAUGUUUAGUGACCACUCAUGUAUGUUGUAUUGCUGUGAAACUAAAAACACAUUGGCACAUCUUGUUCAGGCUGACAGAAGAUGAGGGAUGAAGUACCAAACUAAGUUACAAGAAGAGGGGGACUGCAUUAUCAGAGAUUUCUUUUAUCUCCUUAACUGCUCGUUCAAAACCAGCCCCUCUUGCAGAAACCAAAAGUAACCAUCUGAUGAUUGGUUGCCUAUGGCCUGCCUCAUGACUCCUGCUCAAAGCUAGCUUGAAAAUUAAUAUUUAAUUUUAGUGAUGUCUUGAGUUUUGGACUGAAACAUUAGUAAGAGCAAGAUUACUAUUAUAAAUUAUUUCUGGUAGCACCUAUGAAGUGCUUGGAACUUUCCAAAUAGAAGAGGAGGCCUGGCCAUGUUCCUCAAGGAACUCACAAUUUAAAGACUGUUUCUCUCUCUCUGUCCUGAGGAUAGGGAAAGGAUUCAAUACAUAUGCAAUUAUGUUUAGAAUGUGUAUACAAAUAUAAUAAAAAUAGGACAUGUAAAAUUAUACCCAGACUACUUCUCAGAGUUGUUGUUGUCAAUGGCAGCUUUCCCAUGAGCAUCAUGAUAAAGGUGUGUCUUCAGGAGAGACUUGAAUGUGACAAGGAUAUGGGUCUUCCAAAUGAACUCUAUAAGGCUAUUCCGUGCAUAGGGAAUAGCAUAGAAGGUACAGAACCAUAGGCGAUGCAGUUGCAGACAGAGGGGCAGUCAAGACUGAAGUCAUUGGUGCAGUGAAGAGGCCAGGUGGAAGUGGGUGGGGAUGGUUGAUUUAGAGUAGUACAGCGCAUUAGCUUGGAAAUACAGUCUCUUUGUUACCAAUUUAUAUUCUGAAUGAGGGUAGAGCUGGGGUUUAUAGCUUUUAAAAGUUUUUAAUAAAAAAAAUGGAAGGUGAAAGGAGGGUGUAAACAAGGAGGAUGAAAGAAAGCCAGUAAUUGGACAAAUGGCAAUUGGUGGUGAUGGUCUCCCCCAUGUGGCAAGAGAGGAUAUGGGCAGCAGCAUAGGUAUCAGGAGGCUAAUUCUGUGGGCUGUUACAGGAUUAGUAGAAGUCUACUCAGUUAGGGAACCCAGGCAGACCAGAGGUCCUGAGUGCUCUAUGUAGCAGAUGCACUUGCUCCUAAGAUUUGGCUGUAAACGCUUGUGCAUAUUAAAUAUUCAUAAUGAACAAGGAUUUCCCUGUAUUAUAAGUGCUUGGAAGAUAUAGAUCCCCUUGAGUGUGCUAUAAAAUGCAUGAGGUAUAUACAUUCUCUGCCUCCUCAAUAGGGCCUUAGAGGAACCCAUGUCAAUAUGUGAGUCAGAGCCAAUCCAACAGUGCAAGAGUUUUGUAACAAUACAACAGAAGCUAUGCCCUUGAACUCCUCCUUUGACAUUUUGCCUUUGGUGAUAUUCAGCAAUAGGUUAAGGGCAGAGACAUGGAGUCACAGAUCUGAGUUCUACUGUCCAGAGGGAAGGCAGGGAGCAGCAUUUCUGUCACAACAGAGACACAACUGAUGGAUGCUGCAACACAAACUGCAUCGUGAAUCCAGGCCCCUUAUUAGUUUAGGCUGCUCCUGACUGCAUUACUUUCCCAUUUAUUUUCUGAACUAUCCCUAGUUUCAGACAGUACAGAUGUGUAUAUUAAUGGGCAAAGUUUGGAGCAUUUUCUUGGUGCUUUUAAGUUUCAAAUGGAAACAAUCUGAAAUCUAACAUUUUAAGCUCCUUAUUCAGUACACGUUACACAGGUAGUGCAUUUAUAAUAUGGCUGAAGAUCAGAUAGCAGUGCUCAAAGGGCAUCUUGAUAAAAAUGUGUGAAACCAUUUUUCUCAGGGAUUUAUAAAAAUGUGAAAACUUGUAUUGUUACUUAAUGGACAUGUUCUCUAUCCAGGAGAAAAUUGUUUGUAAUAUUUGAUAAAAUUUGAUUACAUUGCUUGAAAGGCUACGAGGGUGAGCAAGUUAGGCAAAAAUCUCUCUCAUAUUUUCAAUAUGCUUUUUUUUUUAUAAAGAGAAUUAAGUAUUUGUUAAAUUUCACAUUUGGAAAACUACCAAAAAGUGUUAGUGGUCACAGCACCCCAUCAAAGCAAGGAAAAGCACAUUUAGAAGGGAAUCAGAACAACAAAGUGACCUUAUCUCAACUGCUUCACUUUAUCCUUUCACACCAAGAAUGUAACUCCUGUUGCCAGCAGAGGACAUAUUAGAAGAGCUGACUCUAAUGAGUUAUUGCACCCUGUUGUGCCUUGGUGCUGGAGAACACUUGGUAUAUUUCUUCCUAACCUGAUUUUGUCCGUUUGUGCGUGUAACCAUUAGGAUCACUGUGGGUGAGUACAUUCACCUUCAGUUCACUGCACUGCAAUACUGCACCAUCCUCACAUUCAUAAACUGACAGAGCUGCCAAACCUGAAAGAGAGGAAAGGGUUGGGGAAAACCAAGUUAAGUUUAAAUUGCCAAAUCCGAGGAUAGAAAGAACAGAGUCCAUUUCAAAAAAUCUUAUGAUUGUCUUAAUCCUGUGUUUAGAUGCCAGCCAAGCACUCUUGUGCGGGUAUGUUCUGGAAUGCCAUGCCGGCACUUUUUUGGGGGAGCCAGAAUGGCAUUCCAGUACCGCUGAUAACUGUAAAGUAAACCCAUGAUAGUGGUUAUUGCUUUCAUUCUUCACCUUGCACUAUACGUGGUCAGUGCGUAUGCAGCAAAAUGGUGCAUUCUGGCUCUUUUUUUUUUUUUUUUAAAUGCUUGAGAACUGAUGCUAAUUAUAGUGACUGGCACCCUAUAAAUACCUAAGCAAGAGAGUGUCUCAGGUUGUCCUGUUGAAUAGUCUAGCACACUUUACAUGAUGAAUAAUUAAUCAAUCAAUGGGGGAAUUCAUAGAUAAAAUGAAAACACCUUUUUUUGCUCCUGAACAUAGGGGCAACAGAUGUAAAUUGGUGCAGUCAAAGAUGUAUUGUAGGAAUCCUGCAGCAAUACUGAGCUUAAGUUUGGUGGUUAUGUGUAUGUUGUGGCUUUGGAUCUUACCCAUACUUGAGCAAUUUGGCAAGCUAACUGCCAUUUAAACCUCCCAGCACACCUGUCAUGUGUCUGCCCACAAAAUUACUAUCUACGGGGCACAGGAACAUAUCACACUGUGGGUUGUACUUGCUCCGAGCAAGGCUAGCUACUGUGUUGCCCACAUGACUGUGAGGCUCCAUUGGUACAGUGCCACUGUAGAUACAAAGAGGUGGUGCAAUCAGAAACUUCUAUGCCUAAACUCUGUACCGUUUUCUUUUUACUUCAUCAUCAUCUUAAUAAAAUUAUUAAAUCUCUAUGGUGCAAAUUGUCCUCCCAUCACUGUCCCACAGAGCACUAGCCACCACUUAGGGGGUUCUGUUUAGCCUAGUUCUUCUACCUUGCUGGUUCAGGAUCAAGUUUUCUGGAAGUCCCUUGCCUGUAUAAAUAGUACUGCAUACCUUCAAUCUCAUUUUGUGCUGUUUUUUGUCAGCCCCCUUAGCUUUGUGUGUUUCAGCAAGUCAAUUUUGGAACAAUUUCAGAAGGAAAAAGCUAUUGUGAAGGAAUGCUGUGAGCUGGCCAGAGGCAGAUACCCAGGUGCUUGUGAGAUUCAAUUGCAGUUGAACUCUAAUUAGGAAAACUUUGGAUUAUGACUGAGUGACGCAAAUAUAGUGCGUGGCAGGGAAUCACCCACUUGGGGGAAAGACAACACCAGGAGAAAAGUAAAAGGGCCACAAAAGGGCCUGAGAUAACUGAAGCCAGUCUGGGAUAAGGAGAAAAACCUGCCUUUUUUCUCCCCAGUGAAGUGGACAUUAUUUUUGGCACUCAUCCAUCUACAAAGCAUGAGAUACUUUGGAUGGCACUGUGACACCUAGCACCUGGGCCAUCAGGAGAAGAGGAAGGAGAAAUAUUCAUCAUAGCCCAGUCCAUGACAAGGGAUGUGGGCCAGGACCAGGAGGUGCCUGAGACCUUACCAGGAUUCCAAAACCUCUUUGGAGAAGCUCAAGAUCUGGCUACAGCAGCCAAACAGGUUGGGGUGGACGUAGGAGACAAAGGAGCACACAAGAGGGCCCGACUGCACCCAGGCCCAGUGUGGAAAUGCUGGCACAUCACAGAAUGGGACAGCAAAGGCAUCAGGAAUCACAAAUUAUUGAACAGUUGACCAUUUCACUGGAAGGAAAUGGAAAUGACUCAGAGGGGCAUGUAAAGGGACUCUGAUACAAUGUUUAGAUUCAAGAAGGAAAAAGCUGGUCGUUUUUUGGAAAGACAAGACCAAUUUAGGCAAGAGGACAGAAAGCCAAUGACUGAAUGUACAUGGCAUGAUGAUGAAAUGACGCUGCCGGAUCAAGAGGUCCACAGAAAACUUCAAAGAGAAUACAUGGAGAACCAAAGGCAGCUAGCACUAUUCUCCCAGCACCUGUUUGCAUUGUACAACCACCUUAGCAUGAUGCUAUGGUACAGAACUGCAGCCCAUACUGGACUGGCUCAUCCCUGUCUGCUCCCUCUGCUGUGUUCUCCUGGCACUCUGGUGGUGAACAGGACAAAGAACUGGAGUAUGCCAGACAUGCAUUUUAUGGCCCUAUAGCCCCGUAAACCAAAUUUGUGUGUGCUUGGUUUAUUUUUCUCUGGUUACUUAUUGGAGCUGUCCUGAAUGUUUGUGGUUUUAAAUAAAGUAAAAUUGCAUAAUUUA